UGCAGUUGAAUUUUCAGAAGUCAACGAAAUUGCUUGAGGAAGAAAUGAGUCGGCUAACGGAGAAAAUCCACAGGACGUCUAGCUCGCCCGUUGAGCCUCCAUUCCCCAAAGCACCUUAACACCGUGGCUACACCAGACGCGGAAACUCUGCUUUGCGGACGCGGUGUGAACGCAGCAGAAUUCGAAACCGUUGAAAGCAAUGAGAUUGGCUACACCAGACGCUGAAACUGAGGCCGUUUCUGAAAUGGCAUACUACAUACUGCUCGUAUACUGAUCGUGACGUAAAAGUAUAUACAUCCAGAGCUCACUACGUCGGAUACUGUAUCCCAUAAUGCAACGCGGCACCGUUGGAAAAAAACCGUUGAACAUUUCGAAUAAUGGCGGCGGAAAAUGCGAGCGAUGAAUAUAAAUGGACUGAUGUAGACACCGCAGCUCUCAUCAGUUGGAGAUCUACGAAUGAGGGCAUGUUCACGGGCAGGAGGAAUGCGGCGCAGAAGGGGUUCGAAGAAUUUAUUAAGGUCCAGGGGCUAGAGGGGAAGAUGGAGGCCACCAAAAUUAAAAGGAAAUGGGAGAACCUCAAACAAAAAUAUAAGCAUGCUGCAUUUCAUUGUUGUCGGGGAGAUCCUGUGGAAAGUCUCCUGGCUCCACAAAGUCUCCAUUUGAUAGGCACAAGUUGUGGAGGAAGACACAGCAGGACACCACCACUGGGGCAAAGGGCCUUCAGAAAGAUGGAUCUCCACCUGGUCUUCAUCAUCCCGAAAGCCCUCUCCAC
ensembl:lncRNA